rnacentral:lncRNA from 1 species
AAAAGUUGGCCCAAUGACUUAAAGGGAAAAAUAAUUCAUUCCCAGAGAUGAGUCAGAACAGUCUCCUCAAUCCUGAAAUUCAACAGGGCAUCAGAAGGGCUGGCUCUGGUCAAGCCCAGCUGCUCUCGUGAGGAGAUGCUCACUGUGGCCUUGUUGAGCUGAUGGACAAGUGAAGGAGCCCGUGGGGCUGUGCUCUCCUUCCUGCCAUUCGUGCCAUUCCACUCUUUUCAGCUCUCCCCUCAUGGCAUGUGAGUCCAUACCUUCUACAUUUUUCCAGGCCUAUGAGGGAUAUAGGCCUCCCCUUGGGGCGCUGGGUCCGGAGAUCAUCCCUGGAGCUCGUCUGGGGCUCAUGCUAUGGCUCCAAGUAGUGGUUUGAGUGGGCAGGAAGGGCCAUUUGCAAACACUGCUGUGUUCUAGACAAACAAGCCAGGUCCUAUUGCAGGAUUUCUUCUUUCCUUCUUUACCCAGGUAAUGAACUGCACCCAUUGUACUGGGAAAAAUGAAGAAGUGAUACCUUUACUAGAUCCUUCAGACACAUCUAUGAGAAGAUUUGUUCGCUUAAAAGUCUGCCCACUUAGGAUAGGAAAGGGAUUAAGGAUUUUUCCACCUCCUCUUAGUAACCCCUGAGUUACCAACAUCAACUUCUUUCUCUCUGUUCCUGAAGGAACUUUGGGGAAUUGUCUUCAUCUGUAGUUAUGCUUUCCUGAACCUUCUCAGUGGUUUACAUGCCUCUGAAACUAUGUGCAAUAUUUUUGGUUGACACUUGUAUCCAUCCUUAAGAAAUUAGUGCAGAUUGCAGAUAUUCUACUGUCUUCCACCCCAAACAAGCCUGCCAUGAGGUGGGAUCCUAGGGGUUUGGCUGUUCUUAAUCCACUGCUCAGAAAGCUUCCAUUCUGCUGUCCCCAGCCUCGACCCUCUUCUGUGCUGGACUUCCACCCACCCACCCUUUUCAAGUUUAGAUAGCGUUUCAGCUGCAGUCCCAAAGUAACGAAGCAAUGCCUACUGUUAAGUAGGAAGUCAAUCUGUGUGCUGGUUUUGUUGGUUAUGUUGAAAUCACAAACUCCAGAGGAGCAGAGGGGUUUUUCAAUGUCUUUUGCUUUCAGAAA